rnacentral:misc_RNA from 1 species
GCUAGCUAGCUAAUGAGUACUCAUAUAGUUUUACUCCACUAACCGUUAUUAAUGGGAGACAUAAGCAAUUUUUAAUUGCAAAACUCUAAAUAGCCGUUACUACCGGGGAUUUCCGAAUAGGACUGUCAUGCUAAUUGUGGUUUAAAAACUAGUUCAUAAAAUUCCAUUCAAAUAAUUGCAUUUCAAUUCGCUUAACACAAAUCAUUCAAGAAUUUACCCUUAUGGGGUUGGCAACACACAAUUCAUAAAGUUCAAAGAGAAAAUCACAAUUGCCACCAAAAUAUUCAAAUUCACAAUUCAUUCAAAAUAAUUUUCAAUAUUAAAAUUAAUUGAAUAAACUUGGUUGUGUACAAACCUCUAGUGAGUCGCCUCUUUGCCUUGACUCACGUUUCCCUUAUCCUUCCCGGUAUCUUUCUCUACUGAAACACAUAAUUUAAAGUGUUUCAAUAAUCGUCCAAUCCAUUUCCAUAAUUAAACUAACACUUAAAUAUAUGCAUGCUAAAUUCCUCUCAUAAUUUCUCCUAAAAGUUGAAUUUUUUGUAUGUGGUAUGUUAUGGUUACUAUUCAUUUGACCAUUAAGUCAAAAUAUUGACUUUCCCUACUAAAUAGGUAUACUAAUUCUAAUUAUCCCCACAUACCAUAUUUUGGAUCACAUUUUUGUUAGUAUGGAUUGCCAAACUCAAUUCAAGGUUUCCUAGGAGAAAUUGUAAAUUUUCAGUUUUGGGUCACUUACUUCUACUGUUCCAUUGGACCCUCUACAGUGGGAAUUUGGCUAACUU